AACUUUAAAGCUAAUUAGCAUUUCACUUACACUGAAAAGAUAAAAAAUUUUACUUAAUUUUU
rnacentral:tRNA from 1 species